rnacentral:rRNA from 1 species
CAGUCGCCGCGGUGAGACAGAGGUCCCGAGCGUUGUUCGGAUUCAUUGGGCGUAAAGGGUGUGUAGGAGGUCGGGUAAGCCAUGUGUGAAAUCUCAGAGCUUAACUCUGAAACUGCGCUUGAUACUGCUCGGCUAGAGGAUCGGAGGGGGUAACGGAAUUCAUGGUGUAGCAGUGAAAUGCGUAGAUAUCAUGAGGAACACCGGUGGCGAAGGCGGUUACCUGGAAGAUUCCUGACUCUGAAACACGAAAGCCAGGGGAGCAAACGGGAUUAGAUACCCGCGUAGUCCCUGUCUUUUAUAC